rnacentral:rRNA from 1 species
ACUUAAAUUGAAGAGUUUGAUCAUGGCUCAGAUUGAACGCUGGCGGCAGGCCUAACACAUGCAAGUCGAGCGGUAGCACAGAGAGCUUGCUCUCGGGUGACGAGCGGCGGACGGGUGAGUAAUGUCUGGGAAACUGCCUGAUGGAGGGGGAUAACUACUGGAAACGGUAGCUAAUACCGCAUAACGUCGCAAGACCAAAGUGGGGGACCUUCGGGCCUCAUGCCAUCAGAUGUGCCCAGAUGGGAUUAGCUAGUAGGUGGGGUAACGGCUCACCUAGGCGACGAUCCCUAGCUGGUCUGAGAGGAUGACCAGCCACACUGGAACUGAGACACGGUCCAGACUCCUACGGGAGGCAGCAGUGGGGAAUAUUGCACAAUGGGCGCAAGCCUGAUGCAGCCAUGCCGCGUGUGUGAAGAAGGCCUUCGGGUUGUAAAGCACUUUCAGCGGGGAGGAAGGCGAUAAGGUUAAUAACCUUGGCGAUUGACGUUACCCGCAGAAGAAGCACCGGCUAACUCCGUGCCAGCAGCCGCGGUAAUACGGAGGGUGCAAGCGUUAAUCGGAAUUACUGGGCGUAAAGCGCACGCAGGCGGUCUGUCAAGUCGGAUGUGAAAUCCCCGGGCUCAACCUGGGAACUGCAUUCGAAACUGGCAGGCUAGAGUCUUGUAGAGGGGGGUAGAAUUCCAGGUGUAGCGGUGAAAUGCGUAGAGAUCUGGAGGAAUACCGGUGGCGAAGGCGGCCCCCUGGACAAAGACUGACGCUCAGGUGCGAAAGCGUGGGGAGCAAACAGGAUUAGAUACCCUGGUAGUCCACGCCGUAAACGAUGUCGAUUUGGAGGUUGUGCCCUUGAGGCGUGGCUUCCGGAGCUAACGCGUUAAAUCGACCGCCUGGGGAGUACGGCCGCAAGGUUAAAACUCAAAUGAAUUGACGGGGGCCCGCACAAGCGGUGGAGCAUGUGGUUUAAUUCGAUGCAACGCGAAGAACCUUACCUGGUCUUGACAUCCACAGAACUUUCCAGAGAUGGAUUGGUGCCUUCGGGAACUGUGAGACAGGUGCUGCAUGGCUGUCGUCAGCUCGUGUUGUGAAAUGUUGGGUUAAGUCCCGCAACGAGCGCAACCCUUA